rnacentral:rRNA from 1 species
UCCUCCCUCUGGCGGCGUGCUUAACACAUGCAAGUCGAACGGAAAGGCCCUGCUUUUGUGGGGUGCUCGAGUGGCGAACGGGUGAGUAACACGUGAGUAACCUGCCCUUGACUUUGGGAUAACUUCAGGUAACUGGGGCUAAUACCGGAUAGGAGCUCCUGCUGCAUGGUGGGGGUUGGAAAGUUUCGGCGGUUGGGGAUGGACUCGCGGCUUAUCAGCUUGUUGGUGGGGUAGUGGCUUACCAAGGCUUUGACGGGUAGCCGGCCUGAGAGGGUGACCGGCCACAUUGGUACUGAGAUACGGACCAGACUCCAACGGGAGGCAGCAGGGGGGAAUAUUGCACAAUGGGACGAAGCCUGAGGCAGCAACGCCGCGUGCGGGAUGACGGCCUUCGGGUUGUAAACCGCUGUCGCCUGUGACGAAGCGUGAGUGACGGUAAUGGGUAAAGAAGCACCGGCUAACUACGUG